UACAGAGGCCUCGAGCGUUAGGCGGAAUCACUGGGCUUAAAGCGUGUGUAGGCGGAUUGGUAAGUACCUUGUGAAAUCCCACAGCUUAACUGUGGAACUGCUCGGUAUACUGCUGAUCUUGAGCCACUCAGGGGCUACCGGAACAAAUGGUGGAGCGGUGAAAUGCGUAGAUAUCAUUUGGAACGCCAAUGGUGAAAACAGGUAGCUGGGGGUGUGCUGACGCUGAGACACGAAAGCCAGGGGAGCGAACAGG
rnacentral:rRNA from 1 species